UUCGCCCUUAGAGUUUGAUCCUGGCUCAGGAUGAACGCUAGCUACAGGCUUAACACAUGCAAGUCGAGGGGAAACGACAUCGAAAGCUUGCUUUUGAUGGGCGUCGACCGGCGCACGGGUGAGUAACGCGUAUCCAACCUGCCCAUCACUUGGGGAUAACCUUGCGAAAGUAAGACUAAUACCCAAUGAUAUCUCUAGAAGACAUCUGAAAGAGAUUAAAGAUUUAUCGGUGAUGGAUGGGGAUGCGUCUGAUUAGCUUGUUGGCGGGGUAACGGCCCACCAAGGCGACGAUCAGUAGGGGUUCUGAGAGGAAGGUCCCCCACAUUGGAACUGAGACACGGUCCAAACUCCUACGGGGGGCAGCAGUGAGGAAUAUUGGUCAAUGGGCGAGAGCCUGAACCAGCCAAGUAGCGUGCAGGAUGACGGCCCUAUGGGUUGUAAACUGCUUUUAUAAGGGAAUAAAGUGAGUCUCGUGAGACUUUUUGCAUGUACCUUAUGAAUAAGGACCGGCUAAUUCUGUGCCAGCAGCCGCGGUAAUACGGAAGGUCCGGGCGUUAUCCGGAUUUAUUGGGUUUAAAGGGAGCGUAGGCCGGAGAUUAAGCGUGUUGUGAAAUGUAGACGCUCAACGUCUGCACUGCAGCGCGAACUGGUUUCCUUGAGUACGCACAAAGUGGGCGGAAUUCGUGGUGUAGCGGUGAAAUGCUUAGAUAUCACGAAGAACUCCGAUUGCGAAGGCAGCUCACUGGAGCGCAACUGACGCUGAAGCUCGAAAGUGCGGGUAUCGAACAGGAUUAGAUACCCUGGUAGUCCGCACGGUAAACGAUGGAUGCCCGCUGUUGGUCUGAAUAGGUCAGCGGCCAAGCGAAAGCAUUAAGCAUCCCACCUGGGGAGUACGCCGGCAACGGUGAAACUCAAA
rnacentral:rRNA from 1 species